rnacentral:rRNA from 1 species
AGUGAACGCUGGCGGUAGGCCUAACACAUGCAAGUCGAACGGCAGCACAGUAAGAGCUUGCUCUUACGGGUGGCGAGUGGCGGACGGGUGAGGAAUACAUCGGAAUCUACUUUUUCGUGGGGGAUAACGUAGGGAAACUUACGCUAAUACCGCAUACGACCUACGGGUGAAAGCAGGGGAUCUUCGGACCUUGCGCGAUUGAAUGAGCCGAUGUCGGAUUAGCUAGUUGGCGGGGUAAAGGCCCACCAAGGCGACGAUCCGUAGCAUGUCUGAGAGGAUGUGCAGCCCGACUGGAGGUGAGCAGCGGUCAGAUAUCAUGCGCGAGGCAGGAUUGGGGAAUAGUGGACACGCGGCCAGCUCCUUGUCCAGCCAUGCCGGGUGAGUGAGGACGGCCAGCAGGUUGUAAAGCUCUGUUGUGGGGAAAGAAAAGCAGCUGUUUAUUCCCCGGAUGUCCUGCCGGUACCAAAAGAAUAAGCACCGGCUAACUUCGUCCCAGAAGCAGCUGUAAUAAGCGAAACAGCCUCCGUCGAAU